rnacentral:lncRNA from 1 species
ACACAAUGAGUAAAACAGACCAACAAAGGAAGAGAGGAUGUAAAAAUGGACUAGCAGAGCCCAAACAGAGUCCUUACCAAAAAUGUCCCCGGAGACACUUGCCAUAUCUGGAGCAUGCCUACAGGAACUGUACCAAAUUUGUCUGUGUUUAUUUUAGAACAUCAACUACUCACUCUCUCAAAAUAAACGAGUAGCAGGGUUUCUUGACUAUAGAAGUAUAAAGUAAUGAGUGUGUCUUUCUGGCCUGCAAGUGACAUCUUGGAGUAUUAUUUUACUUGUCUUGCUUACCUUACUCUAAAUGCCAGAAGGAACCUUAGUCAUUACAAGGUCUGCUCUGAGGACCAGGAAGCAAACACAUUUGCCUGGGAAUCCCACAGCUGCUAUGACAGUCGACUCUCCCACCAGGCCUACAUUUCUGCCCACUUUGUUCCAUCUCCCGCCAUCUUAGUUCAUAGGUUCCAGCUAAUGAAUAUAUUUCAGCUGUGGGUGCCAGUCUUUUCUGGCCAGUGCUGUAUUGGACACACAGAUGAAUGAGGGGUGAAAUUCAAGCACACCACUUUAGGGCCAUACAGAAUAUAUGUUUAGGCUAGGCUUUCCCUGAUAU